AUGGGCAAUGCUUGGGCACGAGACAUCCAAGGGGUGCUUGGGAUCCACGAGAUUGGGCAAUACCUGAUGCUAUGGCAGGCCGUGCAGAACGUCUCCCUCACGCACGAGCCUGACCGAUUGUGCUGGAGGUGGACGUCCAGCGGCACCUACACAGCACAAUCUUGCUAUGCCGCGACAUUCCAUGGAUCCACGAGGUGCCCUUCUUGGAAGCUGACAUGGAAGAGUUGGGCACCGCCGCGUGUCCGGUUCUUUCACUGGCUUGCCAACCAGGACCGCUGCUGGACGGCGACACGCCUAGCGCGCCACGGCCUGCCACACCACCCAAGAUGCCUCCUUUGCGAUCAGGCCCCUGAGACAAUCCAGCACCUGCUCCUGGCCUGCCCAUUCUCCAGGCAGAUCUGGCACGCCAUCCUGGACUGGACUGGACACGCAUCCCCUCGCAGCCACCGAACAGCGAGCCGACGCUCAUGGACUGGUGGCAGAAAACGAAAAGGCAGACGCCCCACGCGCUGCGCAAAGGCCUACAGUCCAUCGCCAUGCUCAUCCCAUGGAUGA
rnacentral:rRNA from 1 species